UUACAUAUUAUCUAAAUCCACAUAUUUACAGGUUAUUGGCAACAUGCCAGACAUUGUAAAAAUCUCAAGUGACAAAGCACAAAGGACAUUUGAAGACCCAUAAAGGAACCGUUGGUAAAAAUGGUCAACAAAGUAAAACAAGUGCUAUGCUGAAAAAGUAUUGCGAGUACUAUUAUAUAACUUUUUACACACAUAUAUCUAUAAAUUGCAGGAACCCAGCAAAUCAAAUCCAUACUUCACUGUUAACUGUCAAGCCACUAAAUAAACCUGUAUGGAAAAUGAGCACCUGUGCUGAUGUGUUAAAUUAGUUAACGAUCAUAUGACAUGAGACAGCACCAUCUCUCCUUCUCUCUUUGCGCGCACACAGACACACACGGUCCGCAUCUGGUGGUUGAUGAACAUAGAUAUGUGCUGCAGCCACUGUACUAGUAUUUACAAUGACAGGUUACUGGCAACAUGCCAGUCAUUAUAACAGUCACGGCCAGCGACAAAGCACAAAGGAAUAUCGCAGGUGGAGCACUUCACUGGUGUCUUGGCAUGACACUGCCUGCACUUCAGCCGACCAGCAGUGCUGUGCCCACUGAUCUGCACUGGCCUGUGAUGUGCUCCACGUGGAGCUGGAGGUGGUUCGGGUGUGGCUGUGCAGGAAGACCCCGCCUCUGCCAGCUCCACUGCGAGCGUCUCUCUGAACGCCUUCUGAUGCAGAGGUACCUCUCCUUUGCCAAUUGCAAGGUCCUUCUGGAGGAGGAAGGCGUUCACAAUUGCGAUGUCCAUGAAGUGGUAAAACAGAGUCUUGUACCACCGUUGGGUCUUGUGCAGGACUUUGUAAUACCCUAUGAGGUCCACUCCACCCAUGCAUCUACCUACAGUAGAUGAACAGACAAUAUACAAAAACAUUAAUGUAUACAGCACACAAAUAACACUUCCAAGAGCAUACAGGAAAAUGUAGUUGAAUAUAUAGUACGUACCGGUUGUAGUCCUUCCCCACUGGUGGAACUGAGACGUCCUUCAGCUAGGCUCUGGAAUGACCUUCCUCUGUCUGUAAAAACCUGUCCUUCUCUGGGGGGGGUUUUUUCAGAGUGCUCUUAAAACUCACUUGUUUUCCUUAGCAUUUGAUAAUGCUUUGUAAGUUGUUUGUAUUGUUUUGGCUUUUAUGUUUUUAUACGUUAUGUACAGCACUUUGGUUCCACUUGUGGUUGUGAAAGUGCUUUAUAAAUAAAGUUGAGUUGAGUUCAGCUGCCACUGCCCAUCUGCACCCUUUGACCCUCCUCUGCACUGUGUCCUCUGCGUGGGCCCUGUGGAGAGUUGAGCACAGAAAAACAUCCCUUGUGUCUCGCCGCUGGACAAAGAGCAAGGAGCCAUUCCUGAUCCAGCGUAUGCUGCCACGGGGAGAUUUUGAGACCAGAUUGUUGACCUUUGACCUUGGGAAUCCGAUUCUGUUUGUGCGGAUGGUUCCGCAUGCCCAGAUCCUCUUCAGAAGGAGGUCACGAAACAGGAUUGGACUUGUAUAAAAAUUGUCCACAAAGACCUUUAUAGCUGGUGCCCAGCAACUGUACAUCAAUUAGCUCCAUCACUGCCACAUAACUCUCCCUUACCACUGUUUCCCUGACACUUUCCCUCAUAAACAAAAAGGUCCCAUGUAUAACCGUUCCUGGAGUCUGCCAGAACAAAGAGUUUAUAACCCCAGCGAACAGGCUUGUUUUUCAAGUAUUGUUUCAGACCAGUGCGGGCUUUUGAAGCAACCAUUCGCUCAUCAAUGGCGAUUUCCUGGCCAGGGUGAUAGUUUCUUCUACAGGAGUCCCUCAUCUCCUCGUAGAGCGGCUUUAUCUUACCCAGGCGGUCGUAGGCUCCUGUGCCUCUCCUUUCAUCAUUAGCAGCAUCCCCCACAGAGCUGCUGACGUGAAGGGACUGGGAGAUCCUGAGGAACUUUUUACCAGUCAUUACCCGUCUCGGGAACGGCAAGCUAUAAAGAUGACCCCCACGCCAGUAAUCAGUGAAAGAAAAGCAUUUGACUACACCCAUGUAAACAACUAAAGACAUGAAUCCAAACAUGUCCUGCAAUGUCAGAUCAAUCCACGGGAUAGAGGGUGUUGAAUGGUGUGUUGAUCCACAGUUGUUGGUGUUUUGAAGUAUUGUCUUCAAAACAGAGUUGGUAAAAAAAUAGUUGAAACAACUGCAGGGCUGUGUACGUAGCAGUACGUAUGAGCUGGGGUCCUGGGACAUUUCUGGGUCUGAAGGUGGGCUGUGGUGGUGUGAUGUCUGGAACGUCAACAUCAUUCCACCUCUCUUCAGAUGGGCUGGUUGAUCUGGCUUGACUGCAGCCGCUCCCAUUUCCUCGUCCUCUACCUCUUGGUCUCCUGCUGUUCUGGGGAGUUGGAAGAUGAGGCUCCUCAGCUGAUGAACUGUCCUGCUGCUCUACGCCUCUCCCUUUUCCUCUACCUUGUCCUCUACCUCUUGGUCUCCUGCUGUUCUGUGGAAAAGGAAGCUCCUCACCUGAUGAACUGUCCUGCUGCUCCACUCCAUGUGGCCACCUGCUCACUGGUGCAGAUGUAGCUGGCUCCCAAUCCAUAUCUACAUCACAUUUCCUAUAAUGUGAAAAUAAAGAAAUAACAGUAAUUACAACUAAUGUUCUGAAUGCGAAGCCACC